UGUUGGUAUACAGUAUACGUGUGUGUGUAUGUGUGUUAUGUGUGUAGUGUGUGUAUGUGUGUGUGUGUAGUGUGUGUGUGUGUGUGUGUUCGUAUACAGUAUACGUGUGUGUGUAGUAUGUGUGUGUGUUGGUAUACAGUAUACGUGUGUGAAGUAUGUGUGUGUGUGUGUUCGUAUACAGUAUACGUGUGUGUGUGUGUGUGUGUGUGUGUGUGUAGUGUUGUGUGUGUGUAGUAUGUGUGUGUGUGUGUGCCCCGCUCUUUGGCCUCAGGGUC
ensembl:lncRNA